rnacentral:rRNA from 1 species
UACGUAGGCAGCGAGCGUUGUUCGGAGUUACUGGGCGUAAAGCGUGCGUAGGCGGUUGUCUAAGUCUGGUGUGAAAUCUCCCGGCUCAACUGGGAGGGUGCGCCGGAAACUGGAUGACUGGAAUGCCGGAGAGGUAAGCGGAAUUCCUGGUGUAGCGGUGAAAUGCGUAGAGAUCAGGAAGAACAUCGGUGGCGAAGGCGCUCUGCUGGACCAUAACUGACACUCAGGGACGAAAGCUAGGGGAGCGAAUGGG